rfam:Pelodictyon phaeoclathratiforme BT-1, complete genome.
CGACAUCCCCAUUACCUAUGGACACGGUGUCGCAGGCUCUCAACAGGGGUUGUUUCCCCAGGGUCUGCUGGAAGUUUUUCCGUGUCCCAG